rnacentral:rRNA from 1 species
GACGAACGCUGGCGGCGUGCUUAACACAUGCAAGUCGAACGGAAAGGCCCUGCUUUUGUGGGGUGCUCGAGUGGCGAACGGGUGAGUAACACGUGAGUAACCUGCCCUUGACUUUGGGAUAACUUCAGGAAACUGGGGCUAAUACCGGAUAGGAGCUCCUGCUGCAUGGUGGGGGUUGGAAAGUUUCGGCGGUUGGGGAUGGACUCGCGGCUUAUCAGCUUGUUGGUGGGGUAGUGGCUUACCAAGGCUUUGACGGGUAGCCGGCCUGAGAGGGUGACCGGCCACAUUGGGACUGAGAUACGGCCCAGACUCCUACGGGAGGCAGCAGUGGGAAAUAUUGCACAAUGGGCGGAAGCCUGAUGCAGCAACGCCGCGUGCGGGAUGACGGCCUUCGGGUUGUAAACCGCUUUCGCCUGUGACAAGGCGUGAGUGACGGUAAUGAGUAAAGAAGCACCGGCUAACUACGUG